CACUACUUUCUCAUACAGACCGCUUAGCACAUUAGUAUUUUAUUAGAUAUGAUUUUAUCAUUUUUAGAGUUUCUUAUUUUACUGAUUCCUAAUUCAUCCAAAAAAUGAAAAAUUCGUUAUCAUCAUCAUGAUCCUCCUCAUCCUCAGUACUCAUCAUCUCACUACCAUCAUCAUCAUCAGAGUCCUCAACAUUAUCAUCCUCUUGAUGCCAAUAUGUUACAAGUAUCUUCCCGGCAAUUCGGCGUAUUUUACUGUAGUCACAAGUUUUUAGGCUCUUAAUUUUCUGAAGACCCCCAGCGUCUUCAAUCAUCUGAGCAAAGAAAUUCACAUCUUCG
rnacentral:lncRNA from 1 species